rnacentral:lncRNA from 1 species
AUACGAUUUCGCUUCAGUCAGAUAGCUCGUGUAAAUACUCAGAAGCGUAUCAUAAGUGAUAUGUGCCGAUCUCAAACGUUUGGUCUCCGCGGCACUUUCCUCAAAUUCCAAUCCUAAGUAGUUAACCAAAUACUAUGUCCCUUGAUGAAUAGACAAGCUCUCAUGAAACAUCAGAUUACCUCCAACAGGUAUAUGCAACAAGCACGAAACGUCAUCCAAUGUGAUUGUCAUUUCACCUACAGGAAGAUGAAAACUACUUGUCUCUGAGUGCCACCUCUCUAAGAAAGCAAUCAAGAGACUGUGGUCCACUUGACCAUAAUUUGUCUCCAAGAGCGGGUAAAGACCAGAUGCCCUGAUGACAUUCCAGAACCACCCCAU